AGGCCCUUAGCUCAAUUGGUAGAGCACCUGACUCUUAAUCAGGGUGUUGUGGGUUCGAGUCCCACAGGGCCUACAA
rnacentral:tRNA from 1 species